rnacentral:rRNA from 1 species
UAACGCGUGGGUAACCUGCCCUGUACACACGGAUAACAUACCGAAAGGUAUGCUAAUACGAGAUAAAGUACUUUUAUCGCAUGGUAGAAGUAUCAAAGCUUUUGCGGUACAGGAUGGACCCGCGUCUGAUUAGCUAGUUGGUAAGGUAACGGCUUACCAAGGCGACGAUCAGUAGCCGACCUGAGAGGGUGAUCGGCCACAUUGGAACUGAGACACGGUCCAAACUCCUACGGGAGGCAGCAGUGGGGAAUAUUGCACAAUGGGCGAAAGCCUGAUGCAGCAACGCCGCGUGAGCGAUGAAGGCCUUCGGGUCGUAAAGCUCUGUCCUCAAGGAAGAUAAUGACGGUACUUGAGGAGGAAGCCCCGGCUAACUACGUGCCAGCAGCCGCGGUAAUACGUAGGGGGCUAGCGUUAUCCGGAAUUACUGGGCGUAAAGGGUGCGUAGGUGGUUUCUUAAGUCAGAGGUGAAAGGCUACGGCUCAACCGUAGUAAGCCUUUGAAACUGGGGAACUUGAGUGCAGGAGAGGAGAGUGGAAUUCCUAGUGUAGCGGUGAAAUGCGUAGAUAUUAGGAGGAACACCAGUUGCGAAGGCGGCUCUCUGGACUGUAACUGACACUGAGGCACGAAAGCGUGGGGAGCAAACAGGAUUAGAUACCCUGGUAGU